AGUCCUAUGCAUUGACACUUUGCACAAUGCCUUGCAACCACUCAACAACAGGUGUUCUAUUUCAAAAAUCGAUGACUGGCCUAAGAAACCGAUUCUAAUUUGACUUGCACUCAACACUCGAAUGCCUGGCGAUCAUCUUGGCACAUGAGCACGUGACUGACACUCUAAGCAUUUGAGGUUGCAUUUUUGCCUCCAUAAGCCAUAAAGGCUGAUGCUUACCAAACCACCUAGGCACAUUCUGAUUUGGAGGUAUAACUAAGACAUCACCAGCCCUGAAGUCGGCAAUAAUCUGUGUUUCUAGGUGAGUUUUCAGAGCCUGUUGCUACUUACUCUCAUGGAAGUUUCAAAAUCAAGAGAUUCCUCUGUCAUCUCUGU